rnacentral:lncRNA from 1 species
GCCUGGGAUCAUGCACACACCGCACACUGCACUGCAGAGCCUAAGGUCAUGGUCAUGCACACAUACCACACUGUACUGCAGAGCCUGGGGUCAUGCACACACAGUAUACUGCUCUGCAGAGCCUGGGGUCAGGCACACACAGCACACUGCACUGCAGAGCCUGAGGUCAUGGUCAUGCACACAUACCACACUGCACGGCAGAGCCUGGGGUCAGGCACACACAGUACAGUGCACUGCAGAGCCUGGGGUCAUGCACACACAGCACACUGCACUGCAGAGCCUGGGAUCAUGCACAUACAGCACACUGCACUUCAGAGCCUGGGAUCAUGCACACACAGUAUACUGCACUGCAGAGCCUGCGAUCAUGCACACACAGUACAGUGCACUGCAGAACCUGGGGUCAUGCACACACAGUAUACUGCUCUGCAGAGCCUGGGGUCAGGAACACACAGUACAAUGCACUGCAGAGCCUGGGAUCAUGCACACACCGCACACUGCACUGCAGAGCCUGGGAUCAUGCACAUACAGCACACUGCACUGCAUAGCCUGAGGUCAGGCACACACAGCACACUGCACUGCAGAGCUUUGGGGUCUUACACACACAGUACAGUGCACUACAGAGUCUGGGAUCAUGCACACACAGCACACUGCACUGCAGGCUUGGGGUCAUGCACACACAGCAUACUGCACUGCAGAGCCUAAGGUCAUGGUCAUGCACAGUACACUGCACUGCAGAGCUUUGGGGUCAUGCAUACACAGCACACUAUACACUGCAGAGUUUUGGCUGAAGAAUUUGCAUUGAAAACCCUGAUCCCACUCUGCCACC